rnacentral:lncRNA from 1 species
GAUAUUCAAUAAAACUAAAUGUUUUUAAUUUAUACUGAAUGAAUAGUCAUUAUAUAUGGAAAACAUAAUUUCCACGUGUGACACUCAUGGUUACCUAGUAUAGUAGUCAAUUAUACAAACGAAUUUAUUUCUCCACGUCUGUUUCUUUGCUUGCUCAGAUAAUGUUAAUUCUCUCAUAUUGAGACAUAUCAGAUAAUAUGUGUGCUAAAUGAACAAGUUUAAUCGUUGUUGGAGAUCUUUCCAAUCUACGGUAAGUGCAACUACUUUAAUUUAUAAUAAGAAAGAGAUGUGAGCCCCAUAAAUCUAACUAUAACCUUUAGAAGUAAAUAGUGGCUUAUCUACAUACUAUAAAAGUUUAGCAAAAACAUGUAAUAGGUAUUUUUGAUAUCAUCAGUGUUUCCAUCCAUCACAACCAUUGACAAUCCAAUGAUCUAGAUUUUUAUUUUCUCAAAUAGUUAAGAAAUCACAAGAGGCUGUACAGGAGUGUGCUUCUAGAGAAAACCAAUUCUACCAAAUCUUGCCAUUGAUAAUAUUUCUUACUAUGGGAACUUGUUAAUUGAAAAUUGUUCAACUCAAUCCACAGCAAUAAUGAGCAUGACUAGAUAUUUAACUAUUUAUUUGUGCAAGUCUAUCCACAACAAUAAUAAGCAUGACCAAGUAUUUACCUAUUUAUAAAGCCUUUCAUCUUUUGGUGCUCCACACCAGCCAACUGAAUUUCUUCAUCUUUUUUACCAUUCCUUCGAGCGUUUCAAAGCAAGACCCUUGUGAUGCCUACAAAACAAGGAAUCCAGCAUCAUAUCUCACUUGUAUAUUUGAAAACCUCUUUUGCACGCAUCCAAUGAUCAACCUUGCAUGUUAAUAAGUAUCGGAUCAAUGAUUUACCCAAAAAAAUGCUUGUUCUUUGCAAGCUGUGUCAAGAUAUGUAUGCUAGAUGGAUGAGUGUAACCGUCAUUAGAGAUCUUUCGGACUGAUGGUAAUGGCAACUACUUUAAAUAUUAUAGAAAAGAGAUGUGGGUUCAAUAUGACGUGUUACAACAUUGAGCACUAAAUGGCAUUUCUUGAGUGUGACCGGUAGCUAACAGUUAUAGCUGUUUCUUUGGUGAGGUUUCAAGGCCUCCAAGAACUCAAGAGUUUGCAAUUUGUGGUGGACCAUCAAGCUGAGUAGCCUCGGUUGUGAGCCAAGAAGAUCAACUGUGACGUUAUGUGUUGUUGCUGGUGUCCUUGAUAUGCCUUUUUUCUUUUCUUUUUUAUUUAUUUAUAAUUAUUAUAGCUAUUGUAUGGAAACAAAGGAAAGGAUUUGGUAAAUGUGUUUAGAUGGUGCAGUGCGGUUAUCGUUCCAUAGCAGCAAACCAUAGACUGUAAACAAUGUGUUUUUUUUUACCUCAAUGAAAUGGAAUUGUUCAGAUUU